AGCGAACGCUGGCGGCAGGCUUAACACAUGCAAGUCGAGCGGGCACUUUCGGGUGUCAGCGGCGGACGGGUGAGUAACGCGUGGGAACGUGCCCUCUGGUUCGGAAUAACUCAGGGAAACUUGAGCUAAUACCGGAUACGCCCUUUUGGGGAAAGGCUUGCUGCCGGAGGAUCGGCCCGCGUCUGAUUGGCUAGUUGGUGAGGUAACGGCUCACCAAGGCGACGAUCAGUAGCUGGUCUGAGAGGAUGAUCAGCCACACUGGGACUGAGACACGGCCCAGACUCCUACGGGAAGCAGCAGUGGGGAAUAUUGGACAAUGGGCGCAAGCCUGAUCCAGCCAUGCCGCGUGAGUGAUGAAGGCCUUAGGGUUGUAAAGCUCUUUUAUCCGGGACGAUAAUGACGGUACCGGAGGAAUAAGCCCCGGCUAACUUCGUG
rnacentral:rRNA from 1 species